rnacentral:lncRNA from 10 species
UACCAUUUAAGUACAAGAUGUCCUUGACUCUUCAUCAACUGCUACAUUAAUAAUGAACAUAACCCUGGGAAAUUUGGGGAUUUCAUAUGGUGCGAAGAGAGGUCACUUUGAGGUAUUCAGCUGGUGGAUGGCUUCUCUUACAUGUCCCCUUGGCAGGGAUCACUAGAAGUCUGGCUCAGCUGGGGCUAUUCACCAUGGUGGCUACAUAAUGGCUUCUCCAGUAUGGUGAUUUCAGGUUAGUUGAAUUUUUACAUUAUAGCUCAAGACUAGCAAACAUAGUGUUUGAAGAAGCUUGAGUGGAAGCUUCAAGACUUAUGACCAAGAUUAGAAGUCCUGGAAUGUCACUUCUACCAUUUUCUACUGCUCAAGAAAGUCACUAAGACCAGCCCAAAUCCAAGGAGAGAGGAAUUAGAUUUCAACUCUCAACAGGAGAAGUACCAUACUAAAGACUAUAUGACCAUCUUUGGAGCUGUGCUUGCAAAUAGAAAAAGACUGCCAAGAAGCUCACAGACGAGUACAGAAAUGAACAUACGAACAAUUUCAACACCAUUGUGGAGAUAAGUUCACAUGUGGAUGAACUCAGGCCUGAAGUUUCUCACUCAUUAACCUGGAGCAACAAAAUGGAAAGAAUUCUGAUGACAAAGUAGAGAACCUGUCCCUUUGCUGGCUCUGAGGAUGACUGACUGUUGUGUGGGUGAGGUCUGCAGACAGAAGCCAGCUCUGCUCUCUCCAUUGGUAAACAUGGGUGGGAGCAUGGGAAACUCCAAGAGGCCAACCCUUGUGAGUGUUAGUGAAAAACAGCAAAGUGUUAGGAAGAAAAGUGAGUCCUAACUCAGAACUGCAAAUGCCCACCAAUAUUGGUUGCUCCCUGCCUUAUUAGACAUUUUCAUUUGUAGCACCUUUAAAAGAUAUGAUUUCCUAAUGUCAUGGCACUUUAUUUUCUGGGUCAUGUUGGCUUCGUGGUUAAGCAGGUGCAAACAUUGAAUUGGCCAGGUGAGCUGCCAGGAUGACUGAAACACAGGGGGUUUGGAUCAUCUGGACAACAGGACUGAGUGGAAAUUAAUGGGCGAGGGUUUCAGAGAUGAGACUUUGAAUCCAAGCUUUGCAUUUUACUGUAAGAGUUUGGGCAAGUUGUUUAACCUCCGAAAGGCUUUGUUUUCUUCAUUUGCAAUAUCCC